AAUCUAUUUCUUCUUAAAACUUCUCAGACUGAUGCCUCAGAAGUUCGACCUUUACUGUGUUCUUUACACGUAAUUUACAGGUCACACAUCAUUGUCUUCUGUUUCUUUUUUCUUGGAAAAGUUGCAUCUUUAUACUUGGCUGGGAUGAGAACUCUCCUUUUCUUUCUUUUUUUUUUUCUGUUUGUUUGUUUUUUGAGACGGGGUCUCCCCCUGUCGCCCAGGCUGGAGUGCAGUGGCACAAUCUUGGCUCACUGCAACCUCUGCCUUCAAAUUUUCGUCAGCUCUGUCACCAUCCCCCAGGUUCUAAUUCUGUCACUGUAACACCAACAUGCUUGCCUUCAAGGUCUAAAAAGCCGACAUUGGUCUGAGCUGUCACAUGGUUUUGUGCUCUUGGCUUUUGGUCUAUCUGGGUUGUCUCCUGCAAGCAGGCGGAGGCAUUCGCUUUCCUGCUCACGGUCCUCCUUUCUCUUUUUCCUCUCCUCUCUCUGGCCAGAAGCUUCACCAGGUUUACCUUGGCCCAUUUCACAAGUGAGGGAACUGAGGCAUCCAUGGUCAAUGAACUCUGGUGCUGGGGGAAAGGACGCAGGAGCUCCCCAGCCUGGGUCCUCUGGUUUGCUCCAGCCCCUUCUCUGGGCCAGUGGUGAGGGUCCAGGGGUGGGGCUGAGGAGGGCUCCCAGACAAGGGAGGUGGCCCCAAGCCUGCCCAUUCACAGGUAAAGCAUCUGCCUCAGGCUCCAGUGCCCUGGGGACAGCCUGGCCCAGAUACAGGAGUGACACGUGGAACUGUGCUCAGAGGCUGACAUAGGAGCCCCGGGGUCUUAGCUGCUUUCUCAGGACUCCUUCCCACGUCCCAGCUCACCCUGGGAGAAGGAACAGGGGCAGAGUGGAGCACAGCCCAGCCCUCACCUUGACGCUUCUCUCCAUCUCUUGGAGUGGAGGGGGCUGCGUGUCUAUUGUGACAGCUCCCUCCAGGGGGUGCCGGGAGACCAUUUCCUGGUGCUAGAGCUGUGCCCCCAGCCCCCACCCUGGUUGUGCCCUGUCCACCCCACUUCCCGCCUCUCCACAGCUUUUUCCUUGUGAGUGACUUAGGAGAAUCUACGGCAGCACCUGUGGGCAGCCCAGGAGCACUCCUGGGGUAGCCUCAGCUCCUGCCGGUCUGUGCUCACCCUGGGGAGACAGCAGCAGAGACCUCACAAGCUGUCACUUGGCAGGGAGAGGCAGCAGUCAGGGCCCGGUGCGGUGACUUCUUCCACACGCCUGUGUGGUGAGGUGCGGGAGAUUGAGAGCUGGCUACCGGACAAGGAGCAUAACGUGGCCACAGGGGACCACAGCGGUGGGGCUGUCUCCCCCCGACCAUCUGUGCCUGGGCCUGCCAGUGCCGUCUUCUGUGCUCUGUGGGGUGGGGUCUUUGGCCCCCGGGAGGCCGUGGGUCAGUGUGACUCAGAAAGGUCAAGCUCACAGGUCCCCUGGGGUCUCUCACCCAGGCACUGUGCCCUUGGGGGCUGGGAGGGGUGAGAAAGUCCCAGGCCUCCCAGAGCCCACCUGGCUCCCCCACCAGAGUGGCAGCCUGGCCCAGGCUUGGGGCUGAAGGAGGUGAUGCUGUGCCCCCGAGGCGGGCUCCACCUCCCCCAGGAGACCUUGGAGGACAGGCCCUCUCCCAACCCAGGCUCCAGGACACUUGGCAGUGCCUGAAGUCCUGCCUUUCCUCCCCACUUCGGUCUUACCUCCCUAUGGUGAGGCCCAGGCACAUGGAUGACUCUGAGCAGACCUGGACCUCCAUGGAGCCCUAGCCUCAUAGGUGUAUGAUCUUGGGGGCCUCAGGGACCCCGUUCUCCCCUUCCCUAGAGCCUGGAGGCUGUGAAUCCUGUGGAUCCCUGAGCUGUCCUCUCUGAGACCCCAGGCGAGGAGGGAAUGCGUGAGAGCGGGCAGCGAGGUGUCCAUGUUCCCGCGGCUCCUCCCUGUGAGACCCCAGGCAAGGAGGGAAUGCGUGAGAGUGGGCAGCGAGGUCUGUGUUCCCGCAGCUCCUCCCUGCUUGGCUUCUGCGUCCUAGAGAGCCGGCGGCAGGGAGAUGGCACAGGCAGGACCUUGAGGGCUGCAGUUCAGGUGGCAGCACAAAGUACAGCAGCCCAGGCACCACCUCAGAAAGGUCACCUGUGCCCCUGGACAGAAAGAGAAAAAUAAACCAUGUUAUUUCCUAGAACGUAAUGAAUGAACUGGGAGAUGCUGGGGCAGGUGAGUACACCAGGUGCCAGGACCCAUGGGUGAGUGAGCUGGGGUACAGCAGGACCUGGGGUGGGCGUCCAGUGGAGGGAGAGGGCUCACUGGGUUUCUUGCCACUAAAACCAGUACAGACUCAGCAGCCAGGGGCUGGUCCUGGGAGGGCCGGGGGCUUCCUGAUCUGCUCCCCUUCCUGCUGCUCCACUAUUGCCUGUGGGGCAUCUGCUGUGCCCAGGGAAGCCUGAGCCCCCUUCCAGUCACUUAGCUGAGGCAGGACUCUGGGUAUGGCCCUCCUCACCUGGGGAAGCGGGGUUCACAGGCACUCAGAGACAUGGGCACGAUGCUCUGCCAUCGUGAGGGGUCAGCCUGGCUGUGUGACCCAGCACCAGUGGGCAGCCCACAGGUGAUCUCUGCAGGAGACUCCUCUGGCAGGUCACAGGACGCCCCACAGAGCCUUGGAACAUCGUGACUGAGGAAGGGCUCACAUCUUGUUUACUCCCCAGCCUCCCCACCACCUGCAUCUGCAAGGGUAGGUGAGACCGAACUGGGUGGCAGAAACGCUGCCAGUCUCAGGGGCUUAGCGCCGUCCUCUGUGUCCUGCUUGGCACAACGGCACAGCCUGGCAUGUCUUCCAGGCCCUGGGGUUGGUGGCCACACCUUCCAGCUCGUGUGACCAGCCAUUUGCGCAGAAGGGCACAGAAUUUGAGGAGGCUGAGGCUUGAGGAGCUUUGAGGCCUGGAAGGGGGGCCACCAUCAUUUUGUCUGUGUUUCACAGGGUCCUGUCACAUG